rnacentral:miRNA from 1 species
CAUUAGGUUGGUGCAAAAGGAUUUGUGGUUUUUGCUUGUAAAAGUAAUGGCAAAAACCGCAAUUCCUUUUGCACCAACCUAAU